rnacentral:rRNA from 1 species
UCAUCGGCCUCAGAUUGGUAGGACUACCCGCUGAACUUAAGCAUAUCAAUAAGCGGAGGAAAAGAAACUAACAAGGAUUCCCCUAGUAACGGCGAGUGAAGAGGGAAGAGCCCAAGAUUGAAAGCUGGCGUCUUCGGCGUCCGCAUUGUAAUCUCAAGAAGUGUUUUCCGCUUCGGACCAAGCCUAAGUCCCUUGGAAAAGGGCAUCAUAGAGGGUGAUAAUCCCGUACAUGGCUUGGAGCGCCCGAGGCUUUGUGAUACGCUUUCUAAGAGUCGAGUUGUUUGGGAAUGCAGCUCAAAAUGGGUGGUAAAUGCCAUCUAAGGCUAAAUAUUGGGGAGAGACCGAUAGCGAACAAGUACAGUGAUGGAAAGAUGAAAAGAACUUUGAAAAGAGAGUUAAACAGUACGUGAAAUUGCCAAAAGGGAAGGGUAGGAGGUCAGAGAUGCGGCCUGGGAUUCAGCCUUGCUUUUGCUUGGUGUUUUUCCCAGAUUGCAGGCCAACGUCGGUUUUGGGCACUGGAGAAGGGUAGGAGGAACGUGGCACCCCUCGGGGUGUGUUAUAGCCUCCUACUGGAUACAGCGACCGAGACCGAGGACAGCAGCGUACUCGUAAGAGCGGGCCCUCGGGCACCUUUACGCUUAGGGCGUUGGCAUAAU